UACGGGGGGGGCAAGCGUUGUUCGGAAUUACUGGGCGUAAAGGGCGCGUAGGCGGUUGGAUAAGACAGGUGUGAAAUCCCCGGGCUUAACCUGGGAACUGCAUUUGUGACUGCAUCGCUGGAGUGCGGCAGAGGGGGAUGGAAUUCCGCGUGUAGCAGUGAAAUGCGUAGAUAUGCGGAGGAACACCGAUGGCGAAGGCAAUCCCCUGGGCCUGCACUGACGCUCAUGCACGAAAGCGUGGGGAGCAAACAGG
rnacentral:rRNA from 1 species